GCCUUCGUGGUGUAGUGGUCAGCACGCUCGACGCGUAACCGAGAGGUCCGUGGUUCGAUUCCCGACGAAGGCG
rfam:Stegodyphus mimosarum contig22450, whole genome shotgun sequence.